ACCUUGUCCAAUAUUUUUCCUCAUAUUCAUCAAAACAUCUGGAAGUGCUGAUACUCAAGUCAAGACUGAGCAGAGGGGAAUGCAGAAGGAAAACAUGUCUCCAAGGCAGCUGAACAAUGGACUGUAAAGAUGAGAGGUAAAUACAUGUAUGCAUUUUGAUUGAUUGAAAGGCUUGUGGGUGGAAUGUUGGAGGGUGGGAGGACAGGUGAGGAUAUAUUAAAACUUGAGAUCUGAUCAACUAACCUAGAAGAACCCUCUUGUUCAGCACUAUGGUAACUUCCUGAUAAUCUUCCAAGUUCACUCUAUACAUCCUGACAAUUAGCUAUUGAUUUCUAAGACUUCAAAAGACUAACUGAACCUGAGUAAUUCUCACCUAGCCAUAAAUACCUUUUGCUUUUAAUGAUAACAUAGGUCCAUUACCAAGACUGUACUGUGACUGCUGAAGAGUGUUUGUUAUACAUCAUCUAAGUUGGCUCCACAAUAACCCUUUAAAGUAAAUAUUCUUAUCCUCAUAAUACAGCUGU
rnacentral:lncRNA from 1 species